rnacentral:rRNA from 1 species
GAUGAACGCUGGCGGCGUGCUUAACACAUGCAAGUCGAACGGUGAAGGCGGAGCUUGCUCUGCUGGAUCAGUGGCGAACGGGUGAGUAACACGUGAGCAAUCUGCCCCUGACUCUGGGAUAAGCGCUGGAAACGGCGUCUAAUACUGGAUACGAGCUGCGAAGGCAUCUUCAUCAGCUGGAAAGAAGUUCGGUCAGGGAUGAGCUCGCGGCCUAUCAGCUUGUUGGUGAGGUAAUGGCUCACCAAGGCGUCGACGGGUAGCCGGCCUGAGAGGGUGACCGGCCACACUGGGACUGAGACACGGCCCAGACUGCUAAGGGAGGCAGCAGGGGGGAAUAUUGCCGAAUGGGGGAAAGCCUGAUGCAGCAACGCCGCGUGAGGGACGACGGACUUCGGGUUGUAAACCACUUUUAGCAGGGAAGAAGCGAAAGUGACGGUACCUGAAGAAAAAGCGCCGGCUAACUACGUG